rnacentral:lncRNA from 1 species
CCGCCCCCCGCGCCUGCCGUGCGAUGACGCAGCCGCGCCGCGACGUGGGGAUUCCGCCGGAUUACCCGGCGUGCCCCGCGGCAAAAUGGCGGCCUGAGGCGAGAGAGCGGGGCCGGGGCCGGGCGGGGGCAAAGUUUGGGGCGGGCCCGAGGCGGGGCCGAACCGGCCGCAAAGUCACUGGGACCCCCGGUGGAGCCGAGCCCGACUGGAUUCAGAGAAGGAACUGGGAUAAAGGGCCUCUAUAAAAUGAAGCCAUGAAUCCUCACUGAAUCUUCAGAGAGCAGGUAAGAAAGCCAGGAAUGAUCUGAUGCUGAGUCAGACUGUGUUCUUCUUGUAUCACUACCUGAAUUUUUUGAGAACAUGUGAACCACAUACCUGAAGCAGUGGCCGUCUUUGUGGUGUUCUCUGCAUCCUAGUAGGCCUGUGUUGCCAGAAUUGAGAGGCCAGGGGUGUCAGUGAAAUGGGAGUGACCCUGAGAAAUUCAGUAAGAGCUUCUGCAAAGAAAGGUUCAAUUAAAGAUGUAAGCCAGUGCUGUUGACAUGCCAUCUGGGAAAGCAAUCUUUAAUGUGCUCUAUCAGUGCCAGAGUAGCCAUGCUGUCUGUAUCAUUCACAAGGGAUCUGCCCAGCCAUAAUCUGAAUGAAAUCCUUUCUGGUGAUCCUGCUCUUGCAAUAAUGGCAGUGUAAAGCUAGGGGAUUCUGGUGGCUCUCUGUUCUGUCAGGUUAUUUGUUUCCAGACAAAUAUUAACUUUUCCUGUGAUGGGUGGUGCAGGUGCACCUGAGCUCACUGUUGACAUGCAGUUGAGAGGGGCAGCUGUUUGGUACCCAGCAGCUCUUUUCUUGAUUGUACACUGUCAGAUCACCUUUAUAACAACUCCUUGCUCUCUUCACUUCCUAGUGGAUCACUGCAGAAAGCACCUGUAUCCAUCCCAGCAGUGCUUUGCAUACAGUGUGGUUUAGCUUCUGGGUGUUAAAUCAGCACUUCAGCUACCAGCUCUUAGCUGUGGUAUCAAGAGGAG